AUUGAACGCUGGCGGCCGGCCUAACACAUGCAAGUCGAACGAAUAGCGGACGGGUGAGUAAUGUCUGGGAAACUGCCUGAAGGAGGGUGAUAACUACUGGAAACGGUCUCUACUACCGCCUACCAUCCGAUGUCCCCAGAUGGGAUUAGCUAGUUGGUGGUGUAACGGCUCACCAAAGCGACAAUCCCUAGCUGGUCUGAGAGGAUGACGACGGCAGCGUGAACUGAGUCACGGUCCAGACUCCUACGAGAGGGAGCAGGGGGGAAUGUGGCACAGUGGGCGAAAGCCUGAUGCAGCGAUGCCGCGUGGAGGUAGAGGGCAUUCGGGUUGUAAAGUACGUAUGGUGUUGAGGCGUUAGCCUCAUAAGAAGCACCGGCUGACUCCGUGCCAGCAGCCGCGGUAAUUC
rnacentral:rRNA from 1 species